rnacentral:rRNA from 1 species
GAUCAUGGCUCAGAACGAACGCUGGCGGCAGGCUUAACACAUGCAAGUUGAACGGGAUUUGAUGGUAGCUUGCUAUCAUUAAUGAGAGUAGCGCACUGGUGAGUAACACGUGGGAACAUACCUUUUGGUGGGGGACAACAGAUGGAAACGUCUGCUAAUACCGCAUAAGCCCUGAGGGGGAAAGAUUUAUUGCCGAAAGAUUGGCCCGCGGAAGAUUAGGUAGUAGGUGGGGUAACGGCCUACCUAGCCGACGAUCUAUAGCUGGUCUGAGAGGACGAUCAGCCACAUUGGAACUGAGACACGGUCCAGACUCCUACGGGAGGCAGCAGUGAGGAAUAUUGGGCAAUGGAGGGAACUCUGACCCAGCCAUGCCCGCGUGAGUGAAGAAGGUUUUCGGAUUGUAAAGCUCUUUCAGAUGAGAAGAUAAUGACGGUAUCAUCAGAAGAAGCACCGGCUAACUUCGUGCCAGCAGCGGC